AGCGAACGCUGGCGGCAGGCUUAACACAUGCAAGUCGAGCGGGCGUAGCAAUACGUCAGCGGCAGACGGGUGAGUAACGCGUGGGAACGUACCUUUUGGUUCGGAACAACACAGGGAAACUUGUGCUAAUACCGGAUAAGCCCUUACGGGGAAAGAUUUAUCGCCGAAAGAUCGGCCCGCGUCUGAUUAGCUAGUUGGUGAGGUAAUGGCUCACCAAGGCGACGAUCAGUAGCUGGUCUGAGAGGAUGAUCAGCCACAUUGGGACUGAGACACGGCCCAAACUCCUACGGGAGGCAGCAGUGGGGAAUAUUGGACAAUGGGCGCAAGCCUGAUCCAGCCAUGCCGCGUGAGUGAUGAAGGCCCUAGGGUUGUAAAGCUCUUUUGUGCGGGAAGAUAAUGACGGUACCGCAAGAAUAAGCCCCGGCUAACUUCGUGC
rnacentral:rRNA from 1 species